rnacentral:rRNA from 1 species
GAGUAACGCGUAUCCAACCUUCCGUACACUCAGGGAUAGCCUUUCGAAAGAAAGAUUAAUACCUGAUGGUAUGAUGAGAUUGCAUGAUAGCAUCAUUAAAGAUUUAUCGGUGUACGAUGGGGAUGCGUUCCAUUAGGUAGUAGGCGGGGUAACGGCCCACCUAGCCAACGAUGGAUAGGGGUUCUGAGAGGAAGGUCCCCCACAUUGGAACUGAGACACGGUCCAAACUCCUACGGGAGGCAGCAGUGAGGAAUAUUGGUCAAUGGACGAGAGUCUGAACCAGCCAAGUAGCGUGAAGGAUGAAGGUCCUACGGAUUGUAAACUUCUUUUAUAAGGGAAUAAACCCUCCCACGUGUGGGAGCUUGUAUGUACCCUAUGAAUAAGCAUCGGCUAACUCCGUGCCAGCAGCCGCGGUAAUACGGAGGAUGCGAGCGUUAUCCGGAUUUAUUGGGUUUAAAGGGAGCGCAGACGGGUCGUUAAGUCAGCUGUGAAAGUUUGGGGCUCAACCUUAAAAUUGCAGUUGAUACUGGCGUCCUUGAGUGCGGUUGAGGUGUGCGGAAUUCGUGGUGUAGCGGUGAAAUGCUUAGAUAUCACGAAGAACUCCGAUUGCGAAGGCAGCACACU